rnacentral:rRNA from 1 species
AGAGUUUGAUCAUGGCUCAGAUUGAACGCUGGCGGCAUGCCUUACACAUGCAAGUCGAACGGCAGCAUGGGUGCUUGCACCUGAUGGCGAGUGGCGAACGGGUGAGUAAUACAUCGGAACGUACCCGGAAGUGGGGGAUAACGUAGCGAAAGUUACGCUAAUACCGCAUAUUCUGUGAGCAGGAAAGAGGGGGAUCGCAAGACCUCUCGCUUUCGGAGCGGCCGAUGUCAGAUUAGCUAGUUGGUAGGGUAAAAGCCUACCAAGGCGACGAUCUGUAGCGGGUCUGAGAGGAUGAUCCGCCACACUGGGACUGAGACACGGCCCACACUCCUACGGGAGGCAGCAGUGGGGAAUUUUGGACAAUGGGCGCAAGCCUGAUCCAGCCAUGCCGCGUGAGUGAAGAAGGCCUUCGGGUUGUAAAGCUCUUUCGGCCGGGAAGAAAUCGCACAGGUUAAUACCUUGUGUGGAUGACGGUACCGGAAUAAGAAGCACCGGCUAACUACGUGCCAGCAGCCGCGGUAAUACGUAGGGUGCAAGCGUUAAUCGGAAUUAUUGGGCGUAGAGGGUGCACAGGCUGUGCUGUAAGUCAGAUGUGAACUCCCCGCGCUCAACCUGGGAAUUGCGUUUGAAACUGUAGCGCUAGAGUGUGGUAGAGGAGAGUGGAACUCCAUGUGUAGCAGUGAAAUGCGUAGAGAUGUGGAAGACACCAAUGGCGAAGGCAGCUCUCUGUAUUAACACUGACGCUCAUGCACGAAAGCGUGGGGAGCAAAACAGGAUUAGAUACCCUGCUACUCCACGCCCUAAACUAUGUCAACUUAGUUGGUCGGGGUCUGUUUAAAGGAUGUAGGUAACGAAAGCUUAACGGCAUGUAGUCGACGGGCUUGAGUAGGUACGGUCGCUAGAUUACAACUCAAGGUAGUGAACGGCACCGGACAGCGGGUGGAAGUAUGUAGCAAUUAAGUUCGAACUGGCAACA